AUGAACCGUUUCCUGAGGGCUGCAGGCGAGAAUGGAGGAGGACUGCUGCUGACCGACUGCAGGGACCAGUCACCCAACCACACAGCUCCAUCCUCCUCCUCCUCGUCGUCUUCCUCCUCCUUCAUCUCCAUCGUCUCCUCCUCCUCCUCCUCAGCCGACAGACACGCAGCCCUACCCUCGCUCCAGACCCGUGCACCUGGCGGCGGCGGGUCGGAGCCGAGGAGAUCCGCAUCUAAACGCAGCCGAGCCGGCCGGGAGGGACGAGAGGAACCGGGGGCGGCAGCGGCGGAUCACUCAGCGGCUGCUGUCGCGGUGCACGGCGGCGGUGGAGACGCGUGCGUCGCGAAGCAGCAGCAACAGCAGCAGCAACAGCAGCAGCAACAGCAGCAGCAGCGUCGGGAGGUUCAAGGACGCAGCGUCGGUGGAGACGCUGUGGAGAUGAUUUCAGCGGUCAGCAGAGAGGUGGACGGCGGCGGCAACAAUAACAACUGCAACAGCAGCGGCAGCGUCUCCGAGGUGACCACGGCCUCUCCGUCUGCGCCAUGCGCCAAAGGCAAGGAGGACAGGAAGGGGAAAAACGUGAUCCGGGGCUGGAAGAGGGAUAGAGACAGGGACAGGGGGAGGGAGAGGGAGAUAGACGCCGCCACUGUCGCUACUCCUGCUCCUCCUCUCCGCACCACCAGGAAAGAGAAGCCCGGUGAUGGCGUGUCUCCUCCUCCCUCCGUCUUCCACGCGUCGUCCGCCCUGCCCGAGCAUCAUCUGUGCCGCGACGGCCCCGGACUCUGCCGCUGCGCCUCUCCGGACUCCAGGAUCAUGGGAGAUAACAACAACAAUAACAACAACAGCAGCAACACUAACAACGUAAACAAUAACAACAACAACGUCGCGAGUAACAAAUGCGCGCUGCAGGAUUGUGGAGUUAAAGGCGGCAGCGGCGCUAUUGUUGUGAGGCGGCAGCAUGACGACACACCGGCCGCCAAGAAACACAGAGGAGCCGAGAAGGUAGACCCCAUGUUUACGGUGCCAGCUCCCCCUGCUGCAGGUCACCCUGGAGCCCCCGGUUCCUCUCUGCCUUUGGCUCCUUCCUUCUCCCCUCCAGCACUGCCCACCUUGAACCCAAAGCAGAUGGCAGUGAAGACGAGGUCAGUUGGCACCAACACACAAGAAGGCAGCGUCUCAGGGGUACUGGAGGCGGACUCGGCCUGUCUGGGGCCUUGUCAGCCUGGGACCAGUGUCAACCUGGAGGGCAUCGUUUGGCAUGAAACAGAAGAAGGUGUGCUGGUGGUGAAUGUGACGUGGAGGAAAAGGACCUACGUGGGAACUCUGCUGGACUGCACUAAACAUGACUGGGCUCCACCGAGAUUUUGUGAGUCUCCCUCCAGUGACCUAGAGUUGCUAGGUGGGCGUGGCCGGGGGAAACGAAUGCGAAUGGCCAUGGCUGAGCGGCCCUGCAUUGAGCCAGUCCCUGCUGCCAAAGUCCGAGGUCUAUCACAGCACAGGAGCCGUGGAGGUGGUGUGGCUGGAACUACUGCACCUAUUCACACCAAGGGACGGAGAGGCAGCCUCAACCUCAUCAACAGCAACUGCCGAACUCCACCCUCUUUCUUCACUGUAGAGGAGAUGAAAUCUUCCAACAACAACAGCCUCUCGUCUGGAAAGCGAAAGAACAAACCACCAGCUGACCUGGACCUCAGCCUAGUGUCAUCUGAUGACAUUAAAAAUGGAAAUGGGAAGCGGAUUCGAGCCAAAUCCCGGAGUGCCCCAUCAACACCUCAGGGCAAAUCUGACCCUUCAUUCAUGGAUCCAGGUGGAGGUUGUGCUUCUUCACCGCCUCCCCCUCCCAUUCUCAUUGACUGCCCCCACCCCAACUGCACUAAACGCUACAAGCACAUCAAUGGACUGCGCUACCAUCAGACACAUGCACACCUGGAGGCUGAAGAGCAGAGGAAACCUGAACUGGAGCCCAUUAAGGAUGGAGAGAGUGAGGAACGACUAUCAGAUUGUGAAGAUACCAUCAGCAACAUAGCAUAUGACCUGUCAGACAUUAAUAAUAGUAGUAAUGCCAACAGUUCCUCUAAGAAACCUGCUCCUCUAUACAAGGUGACCACAGUAGGGUCUCCUAAAAACAGGCGGCUACUUCUUAGUACAGACCACAACCCCAUAGCUAACUCUAAAACCAGAAGAACCUCACUUCUAAAAGAUGGGCUGAUUGAUGACCUCAGCAAUCUGCCCAUUAUCUCUAACAUGACUGUUGUUUUGGAGAACUGCAUGGUCCCAGACAGGAACUCCAUGGUAGAGAUGCCCAAACUAGAAGCUGAAGGUUUGAUUGACAAAAAGGGAGGUGCUUGUGAAAAGGGUAAAAAGGCCAACGGGAAGGUAGAAAAGCUGUCCAAGUCGCGGACGAACCGGCCAAUUGCCCCAGCCCCCGCUCCACCCAAGCUGAUUGCCAUACCAAAUGCAACAUAUCCCUCUAGUACAGCAGAUACUCCUGCCUUACAGCCGCCCUCUCCCAUGGCAGCAGUUGGCCUCACAAGUAAAAACCUUCCGUUAAAACCAAUCAAACCAAAGCUGAGCAUUGUUGUGGAGCCAAGUCUUGUCAAAGCCACUCUAGUUACCUGCAGCAAAGAGACCAGGAAGAAAGAAAAACGGAGGCUGAAGGACAAACAUAACAAAGAUGUACCAUCCAGGAUGCAGAAUGGAGACAGCAGUGGAAUCAAAAUGGAAGAUGGAGGCGGUGGAUCUAAAAUGGGUGUCAAGGAAAUUUCUGGAAGUCUUCUGAAGGAACACCUCAGUAAGCAAGAUAUGAUAAAUGGACUCACAGAGAGCCAAGAGAGUAGGAUGGCUAGUAUCCGUGCAGAGGCCGAUAAGGUCUACACCUUUACUGACAAUGCUCCCAGUCCCUCCAUUGGCAGUUCAUCACGGCUUGAUGCAAAUGGUAGUUGCCUGGCAACAGCAGAUAGCAGCAGCAAGAACAACAGUCCGGCCUACUCUGACAUCUCAGAUGCUGGGGAUGAUGGGGGAUCUUCCGAAUGUCGCUCAGAUGGACUCAGGUCCAAGUCUGGUUCCUCGGUCUCUUCUGAGGUGAACUCCAAUAGCAACCAUGGAAACCCUAGUAAAACCCCACCUACAUCAUCUGCCCCGUCAUCAAAAGACUCCCAAUCACCGUACUACCACAGCUAUGACCCUUACUACCUACAGGGGUAUAUGCAGUCAGAGAAGCAAAACAGCAGCAGUGUUGCUUUCCACAAAAGCUCUGCUCAUGAUGGCAAAGGGAAAGACAGAAAGGAUGAUGUUAUUGAAGAUGACAAAAGCUCCUCCCAUGAGUUUUCUGACUCUAAGAAAGGUGAGGGGCCACCUCAGUCUCAGCUCCAACUGGCUAUGAGUCACACCCAGACUGCUUUGGCCCAGUCCCUGUACUAUGGACAGUACUCCAGAGGACUGUACAUGGACCAGAAACUGUUACUGGCCUCUAAAUGCUGUGACCAGCCACCCAGUGUCAAACAGAGAGGCGAGAGGGGACAGGGGUUAAGAGACAGUGAGGACGUGAAACAUAUUGUUGGGUGUUCAGUCAGUGGACCCACGCUUGGGAAAGGUCCAGAUGGUUCCAAAGGGUGCAGUUCCAAACCAGUCCUCUCAUACGUGGAGAUGAGUGAGAGAGGAGAAAGGGGACAGAGUAUGAGCUUAAAGGCAGUGCACGGAGGUAUGGUGGACCAGCACCAGGUCUUGAUGAAAGAAUGUGAUGACAUCAAGUCACCGUCUACUUCCUCUUCUUCAUCACUCCACAACCCAAGCAGUCAGGCAGAUCUGGAUUCAAAUGUUUCCUUUUCAAGUCCCUCAGACGGCCCCACCUGGGCUCACCGCCUUGCUCACAGCAAAUACUCAGAGCUACAGAGUCAACAUGGAGAGGAGGCUGAGGAAGGUGAGGCAGACAGGGGGAAAGAAUGGGGAGCUACCGUGGAGCCUGCUGGAGCCAAGAUGACCCAGGGAGGAGUAGGUGGAGGAGAGAGGGGAGGAGGCAUGGGCGGAGACACAAAAAAAUCCCGGGUCCAUGGAUCCCACGAUCUUCCACCUAACAUUGAUGCUGAGGACUCGGACCGGCUGGAAGGGCUGGAUGAUCAAGGUCAAGAGCCUAUAGGAGGGUUUUCUGAGGAGUCCCAGAGUGCCCGUGCAGCAGUGUCUCCUCCGAUGACUCCGCAGCAGCCCUACAUCCAGUAUCAGCACUCCUCCUAUCAGCCCUACCUGACAAUGUGUGAGAGCGGCGGAGGAUCCUACAGAGGCAUGUCCCCGACACUGGUCCACAAUUACCCAGGUUUCCACUAUCCUCUGUAUGGUAAGACGGCGGGCAGGGAGGAAUCUGAGGUGAUUCCACCUGGCAGAGGGGCAGUGAGCAGCAAGCAGAGCAGUGACUCCUCGUCGUCAUCAGCCAUAGAGCUGCUGCAGCAGCAGAGCCACCCGUACCAUGGAAAAUCACCUGCUCCGGGCGAGAAGGGUUCCCCUGAGGGAGAGAGAGAAACAGAAAGAGAGAGGAACCAUGUUUCGUUCGCUCGACACCUUCACACACACCAUCACACUCAUCUGGGCAUGAGCUACAACCUGAUGUCAGGGCAGUAUGACAUCUACCAAGGUAUGACCGGACAAUGCUCCACAAUCACUCCCUGCGUGUAUUUGAACUCAAUGUAUACUUUUAUGUGUUUUGUAACCAGAUUGUAUGUAUUUAAUCAGAUUAUAUCUAAACCUUCCAUUUACAUGUGUCCAUAUUGAGGCAUGAUCACUUAAAGGUGACAUAGAAUGCUUGUAUCACACUUAUAUGUUAGUUAUGGAGGUCUACUUACAUAUAUUAACUUGUUUUCAUGAUUGAAAACCUCCUAACCUCCUAUCCUUUGAUCGGCAAACGAGCCGAUGUGGGCUUUAAGCAAAAAUGGGGCUUUAAUCCCGUUUUUUAAUCCCGUGCUUUUAUGUGACAAAAAAUGUGAUGCCGGAUGACAUCAUUGUUUUCUGCAACAUGUUGCUGAUGUGAUGAGUAGUGGAGGAGAUGUGUCAUGGCGUCUGAGUGGUAUUUACGACAAUGUAAUUACACUCGGCAACUGUGGGGGCGCUUGUGAGUCAAACAAUCUAAAAUAAUGGCCUGUAUUACUGCAGCGUUUUUACAUUUAUGUAACCACACAAACUGAUUCUCACUGACUGACAUUUCCCUUCCUGGUUCCUCUGUGUUGAAGGGUUGAGCUCCAGGUCGCUGGUCUCCAGUCAGCAUGUGUCAGGACACUCAUCCACAGAGAGUGAAUCAAAGAAGU